GCUGGGAUUAAAGGCACCACCGCCCGGCUUUUAUCUGCACUUUUAAUUCUGGCAGAUCCACCCCACAGCUUUACUAGAGCCAGAGGACAGAAGAGGGUUGAGAACUAAAGACCCUGAACUAAAUCGCGGUGAAAUGUUGUGCGCCUGGGACUGUGGGGGAAAUAAGUUGUUCUGUCCCAACCCUCACGGAAAGACUCCCUUCUAGAACCCCAGUUUUCGAGGCAGGAGCACUGUAAUCUCCGGAUUUAGCACUGUAAUCUCCGGGCUUUACCGGACUGACCACUUCCGGUUCGGGCCAGGCCGCGGAGACAAGUGGGUAACGAGCAGCCCCACCCGUGGGUACUUCCGGCGUCAGUGCCUGACGCGAUACUGAAGGACUGGUCGUACGGCCAACGGCGUCGAGACAGCGGUGACGUUUAGCCAAUGGAAGCGGGUGGGGCGGGGCGGCCAUGAUCGUCUCGAGCAGCCGCCCUGACGGGAAGGGCCCGAAAAGAGUCGGCGGCACAAAAUGGCGGCGGCGGCGGCCGGGGCUUCGGGGUUGAUGGCUCCUGCGUUGGCGGCCUGCUCUUCCGGCUCGGGGGGAGCAGCCCCAGGGUCUCAGGGGGUGCUGAUCGGUGAUAGGCUAUACUCCGGCGUGCUCAUCACCUUGGAAAACUGCUUGCUGCCCGACGACAAGCUCCGCUUCACCCCAUCCAUGUCGAGCGGUCUCGACGUCGAUACAGAGACUGGACUCCGCGUAGUGGGCUGCGAGCUCAUCCAGGCAGCCGGCAUCCUGCUUCGCCUGCCGCAGGUGGCCAUGGCUACAGGGCAGGUGUUGUUCCAGCGGUUCUUUUACACUAAGUCCUUCGUGAAACAUUCCAUGGAGCAUGUGUCCAUGGCUUGUGUUCACCUGGCUUCCAAAAUAGAAGAGGCUCCAAGACGAAUCAGGGAUGUCAUCAAUGUAUUCCAUCGCCUUCGGCAUCUGAGAGAGAAAAAGAAACCUGUGCCUCUGGUGCUGGAUCAAGAGUAUGUUAAUCUAAAGAACCAGAUUAUAAAGGCAGAGAGACGGGUUCUCAAGGAAUUGGGCUUUUGUGUCCAUGUGAAGCACCCUCACAAGAUAAUCGUUAUGUACCUUCAGGUGUUAGAAUGUGAGCGUAAUCAACACCUGGUCCAGACUGCAUGGGUAGCCUCUGAGGGUAAGUGACUAAGACUUCUCCUCUGCUGUCCAAGCGCUUUGGUGCAGGGACAGCGGCCGUCUUCAGCCAAUCCAGUGCAGGCUCUCCACCGAAGGCUGGCUCUAGACUGGUGGUAUGCGUACCCAAUAGUAUAGAAAUGGCCGACUGCUGCUUGUGGUUCUCUGACGAUUGUGCUUCUUGUUAAUCCUGUCAUGCUUGGUAAUUGUAUCAAUUAGAAUUGAUAACUGUCUUGACUUGAAUUUUGUUCUUUUAAAACUGCUGUACCUGUGCAAUAAAGAUGCAAUACCUUUCUUUAAAAACAAUUGUAUAGAAAGCUAUAAGACCUGAAGUGACAAAAUUGGCAUGGUGGAAAUUCAGGCUGUUACUGGAUCCUAUCAUCUAUUCUCUCAACCUGCUCUUUUCAGCAGCUUAAGUGGGACUCAUUACAGUAAAGGUGUGCAUCUUUAAGUUAAAAUAUUGUAAUUUAUUUCAAAUGUAGCAUUAAGUUUAAAUAUACCUUUGAAGGCUUUCACUUGUUUUUAGAUCAAAGUUAAUGAAUUAAUAUAUUUGAAUACUAAAAUUUCCUUACUAGUAGUAAAAUUAUUGAUGGUUCUAUCUGUGAAUGUUUAAGCUGUUUAGCUACAGAAUGGCUCCUGGGAGAUGGGCAGCACCGCUACUGUUCUGGCUUCCCUUCCUGGGCCAGCUGCCUCUUACAGGCAUCUGUAGAAUGUAUUGUUUAAAAUGUCAGAGUGGGUUUGAAUGUUAUCUUCUCUAAGGUUUUAGGGCAGAGAUGCUGGGUGGGAGCAUUAAAUCUCUCUCAUAUGUGGUACAGCCUGACUGACAGGGUAUGCUGUACCAUUGGAUAUGUUGGGCGGUGUAUAUAACCUCAUGAUGUGUUUUCUCAUGAAUUGUUUUUGCAUUGUUGAUAAAGCUAGUAUACCCUUUGGUUUUAGCCUAUAAAAUUUAAAUAUAUAAAGAAAAUAUUAAAGAUGUAGUCAAUUUUAAAUGACCUUUAACUUUUCUAAAAAUGUGAAGUUUUGUACUUACGUAUCAUCUAAAGUAUUAUAGCAUUUUUAAGUGUACUUAGUCUGAUGGCACUUUUAGUGUUUUGUUGCUGUUGUCUGAUUUUAAUGAAUGUUCAUUUUAAGACUCCUUGUUGAAAUGGGACAGUUUCCUUCUUUGAUAAGCCUGAGAAGAGGAUUCCCUUGGGUGUUGACCUCUCAACAUGAUGUGCCCAUGCAUCUGAACUGAACCCAAGGGCCUUUCCCUUUUCCAAGUGGACUCCCUCCCUGGAGCUGCGGCUCAGUCAUCUGGAGAAGGACCGGGCGACAAAUGCUGCCUGAAGAAAAGGAACACAGGAGGACAGCUUGUCCGACAGUUGGGAGGCUUCAUGCUCAGCCUUCUCAUUUGAGUUUGCAUGUUUCUCUGCACUAUGGAUUCUGAACAUUUAGAUUUCUUUAAUCAACUACAUCUUAACUACUAAGUAGCAUUUUCUUCCUACGCACUGUGCUUUGCAUGAUAGCAGGUCAUAGAGAAGGAAAAGUAAAGUUAAAGUCGGUUCUCGUUCAUAGCAGCGUUGUCUGACAUUCAGCCAGCUUUUUCCCCCCAGUGAUUUAUUUCUUUUGUGUAUUCAGACUGUCCCCUGUUACCUAUGGGGAUUCCCAGAGUACCCAGCACAGUCCUAGUGUAGAACCCUUAGGAAUAACAACCUUUGAUGACAGGUGGUAGCAUAGUUGCCCAUGGCAUUACAGUCUUCCUGGUUUUGGUUUCAGGAACUACAUGAAUGACAGCCUUCGCACGGAUGUCUUUGUGCGGUUCCAGCCUGAAAGUAUUGCCUGUGCCUGUAUCUAUCUUGCUGCUAGGACACUGGAGAUCCCUUUACCCAAUCGUCCACAUUGGUUUCUUUUGUUUGGAGCAACUGAAGAAGAAAUUCAAGAAAUCUGCUUUAAAAUCUUGCAGCUUUAUACACGGAAAAAGGUUGAUUUGACACAUCUGGAAAGUGAAGUGGAAAAGAGAAAGCAUGCCAUCGAAGAAGCAAAGGCUCGAGCAAAGGGUCUGCUCCCAGGGAAUGCGCCAGGUCUGGAAUGUGCUGCAGGGUUCUCACCUGCUCCCAAGCUGGUAGAAUCCCCCAAAGAAGGUAAAGGAAGCAAGUCCUCCCCACUCUCUGUGAAGAAUGCCAAACGGAAAGUGGAAGGCCCAAAGAAAGUCAAGGGUGACAGCCCUGUCAAUGGGUUGCUAAAAGGGCAGGAGAGUCGAAGUCAAAGCAGGAGUCGUGAGCAGAGCUACUCAAGGUCCCCGUCACGGUCUGCUUCUCCGAAGAGAAGGAAAAGUGAUAGUGGCUCUACCUCAGGUGGGUCCAAGUCACAGAGUCGUUCUCGGAGCCGCAGUGACUCUCCUCCAAGGCAGGUACACCGUGGUGCUCCCUACAAAGGUUCAGAAGUGCGGGGCUCCCGGAAAUCCAAGGACUGCAAGUACCUCACCCAGAAGCCACACAAGUCUCGUAGCCGGAGCUCCUCUCGCUCCCGAAGCCGGUCACGAGAGCGGACAGACAAUUCUGGAAAAUACAAGAAGAAAAGUCAUUACUAUAGAGAUCAAAGACGAGAGCGCUCAAGGUCAUAUGAGCGCACAGGCCAUCGCUAUGAGAGGGACCACCCUGGACACAGCAGGCAUCGGAGGUGAGAUAGGUUCCCUGGUGGUUGCCCUUGGUCCCUCCCUGUUGGGCACACCUUGGCUUCAGUGGCCUUGUAGCAUGAUGUUUUUUGAAAAUGUUUUUGAUUGGACCUUGAGGUGAAUUUGAUUGAUGAGACAGUGGGCAAGGUGCCCUUCAGGCUGGCCUGGGGAGUGCUGCACAUCUGUCCCAGUUAAUGGUCCACCUCAACUGCAGACCUUCAGGUAGCUGGAUGGAACAGCAAAGGCACACGUCUCCGUUGGCGUGGCUUGGUGCUAUUGACAAGCUGUCUCUUCACUCCUAAACUGAUACUCAAUUACGUUAAGCCAAGAAAGAUGAUUUUUCAAAUCUUUGCCUAUAUUAGGUUGUACUUGUGUACAUAUUUUACAGUGGUUCACAAUGAGAAAAUGGCCUUAAUAGCCCCCUUGUUCUCUAUUCACGUUGUAAAUAAACAUGUUUAAUACAAGUGAAAGCUAUAUAUGAGAACUCGGAAUUUUGAUUCUGUUAGCUUAACACUUGUAUAAAAAAUUGAGAUUUUUAAAAUGUGACGGUAUUUAGGUCUGUGUUGAAAGUCAUAUAUUUUUAUCUGUGCAAUGCUGAGUGCAGGCCACCAGCUCGAGAGAAAUUUUAUGUGGUUGAAUAAACAAUUCUCAGGA